rnacentral:pre_miRNA from 1 species
AGUGGAAUUGCUAGGUCAUAUGGUUAGUUUAACUUUUUAAGAAAUUGCCAAACCACUUUCCAAAGUGGCUAUACCAUUUUAUAUUUCCACCAGCAGC